AUGGCUCCAAGUGACCAAAGUAAAUUGUCAAAUAGCACCAGAUACAGAUCGCUGUCAUAUUAUUUUAAAACUCAGAAGAUUUUUCUCAAUUGUUUAUGCUAUGUUUUUUGCACCUUCAUAAAUAUCUUAGAUUGGAAAUUUCUCUUGAAAAAGCGGGAAUGGGUUCGAACGGGUUUGAAAUUGAAGGCUAUUAUUAUGUCAAUCAAAACCUAUUUGGUUUCUAGGUUUGGCACUGCUGUCUCUUUCUGCAUUGAGCGAUUCAAAAUAAUCGCGGGAAUAUUUCUGUGCGCAACUUUAGUGAGCGAAAAUCGAAGUAAAAAUCAAAGAACUAUUGGUCGGCCAUAGCAAACUUUGGAAUUAUAAAUUCUUCAGAAGGAAAACAUAUUCAACCGAUAUUUUUAAGCGUAUCAAACUUUUGAUAUUGCAAAAACGCGUAUCCCUUUAAUUAGUGUUUCAAAAUCUCCUCGCCAAUGUUAAUGUAUCGAAGGAGGGCGAACUUUCAUUAUUUUCAUAAAUUUCCGCAGAACUUUCCUUCACGCUAUCACCGCUUCACGGUGACUUGUGAAUUAAUUAAGGAUGAGAAACGGCAUAACAAUUCAAUAAUGUGCAGCAAAUAUUUGAAAAUCGGCGUUUAUUUGUCUGAGCUCCAUGGGAAAACGCUCAAUUGAAUUUAUAUAAAUAAUUUAUAAAUUUAUAAGAUUAUUCGGUAAUGAUUGCAAUGUAUUGCCUGAAUUUCAGAUAUUUUUUCUCUUCUUUUUCGAGAACUUUUGUUAACACUAACAAAAUUAAAUUUGAAUAUUUUAUACUCGGACUGAUUGUGAAUUGAAUAAACAAGAACCGAAUGUGUGCAGCAAUAUUUGCGUAGUAUAAUUGCAUCCGAUUGUCAAUCGAUGAUUUUUUUUUUAUUUUUUUAAAUUUUUAUUCGUGUUUGAGGGGGCGGGAAGUGCCCGCUAAUGGCCUGCCCAUGAGACCCCCCCGAAAUAAAACUCAGAAUGCAACACCGUGACGAAUCGAUUGUGUAUAAACAAACGUUCGCAUAACUUCUCGAUUCGACCUUAAUUUUUCCUCUGGCCAGCUGACAAAAGAUCAUUGCCACUAUUCAAAGUUCCGAGGUGUCGCGAGCCGCGACUAGAAAUAGAGAUUUUCCUUCGUCUCUCAAUGCCUCACUGCGCGCAGUUAGAAUUUUGACCUUCGGAUUUUUUCCGGAUUUUUGAGGGGCUGAUGAAGACAGUGGCGUAUGCAGGAUAAUGUUCUAAGGGGGGGGGGGGGACAAACCUCCUACCGGUAGGUCUGGUCCAGGUGCAGCGGGGGGUCCGCCCCCCGGAAAAUUCUCAGGAUUUUAACCCCAUAAAAACCCCACUUUUUAAAAAUUUCAGUCCAUGGAAAAUGAUAAGAAGCUCUCCUCUAUUUUCCCCCAAAAAGACCUUGAAAAAUGGGAAACCGUCUGUACAAGGCCAAAUGGAAUGUUUUGUUUUAAGUAUGAGAUGGAAAAAACCACUAUAACUACCUGAAAAAAAAUGAGAUAAGUAGACUCUCCAAUUCCUUACAUUCAAAAAUGUUGAUCAAAUCAUUAAAGUGCCACAGUCGACGAAACUAUUUGUUUUCUCUUAUUUUUUUCUCUCUUUUUCUGGGGCUCUGGGGAGGAAAAGGGUCCGGACCCCCCCCCCCCCCCCCCCUUCCCCCCGUAAAUACUUCACUGGAUGAGGAUUCAACCCCAAAGGAAUAAUACCUUAAAGGAUCUACCAAUAAACGUUGAAACUGCAUAGACGCGUAUCUUGAUUUGCGGCGUUGCAAAAUUUCUGUCAGUUUGGUCUCUUUUUAAAAGUAAUGAAGGGGCAGAGAUUUUGAGACACCGCAAUCUCGUACUUAGACCGUCGCAUUAUGAGAAAGCUUGGUCUUAUCUAGAGAAAUCCAUCACAUUUUCUAAAGGGC
rnacentral:lncRNA from 1 species